rnacentral:lncRNA from 1 species
UCAAACCAAUUCAAAUGGAUAUCCCUAAGGAACAUCUCUAUAAUGCCUCAGUGCUUCCGGUCCUUCCUUUCUCGAAAGCACUGCGAAGGCUGCCGGCAGCGUGGUUGUUCCUUUCGCGAGUUGGUGUCUGGCGCACAGCGCGAACGUCUCAUGAGCAAGAAGCCGUAGAGACGAUGCUCUCAAUGUUGGACACCGAAGUGAGGCAACUCAUCGGGCACAACGCCAAAAUGUCCCUGUUGUGUCCUGGCCCUGGGUCACGCGUGUCGCGCCUUGACAGCCGUGACCUUGAACGACCUUGACCGGCCGGGCCGGGCCGAGCGGCCGAGGGUCAGUAUCGUCCGAGCGGCGCUGGUGUCAACACAGCUGAGUGCCGCGAGGUGAGGUGAGGCGUGUUCGCCGAGACGGUCCGGCCACAGUGAAAUAGUGAAAUAGUGGUGUAAUCGAUAAUAUGCGUGGCCAGUACGCGAGUGAGAUUGACCCUGUGCGCGACACCGAUUCAGAGACGCACAUAAGUUAACACCGUCGUGUCGGAUCGCUCGUACCGGUGAUGGGAGACAACGAGCAGCUGGAGCGUCUGAUGGCGCUCCAUGGUUCAGCAGUCAGCAGGCUGCCAUGCUGGAGUAGCUCCUCCCCAGCCAGAUGCAGGUACCAGCUGCGCAAACUGUCUAGAGCGGCCAACCGGCUGUCGUCGCCUCCGCCGCUCCUAUGGCUAGACUUCGGUCUCACAUGGACUGCCGUCGGUAGUGUUCACAUGCCAGCCCAUACAUUUUACCUGUAUUAACUUUUUAAUGUCUGUGCCUGUGUAACUAUUGUACGUGCCUGUACUUAACAGUGUUUGAAUUGUACAUCGUUCGCACAGUCUGUGGACCGUGGGGAACGCCGCUUGACAUGCAUUUUUGCACUUACCUGCAUUCCGUGUUAAAAGUAAAGUAAAGGGACUGAGCUGUCGUGCACCGGGAGAUAUUAUGGUCUCUUGCUAAACGACACAGUUGAAACUCAGCACGCCGUAUACUGACUGGGGCAGCACGCGAAAGGGUUUGGGCACCUUUUGAAACAAAAUGUUCGCAUCGAAUGACUGCAUCGCAUGUUCUGUUCCAGAGUGAGUUUUUUGACAUCUGACACAAUAAAUAUACAUGCCUGUUCUU